CACGUAGGGGGCGAGCGUUGUCCGGAUUUAUUGGGCGUAAAGAGCUCGUAGGCGGUUCGCUAAGUCGGGUGUGAAACCUCCAGGCUCAACCUGGAGACGCCACCUGAUACUGGUGUGACUAGAGUCCGGUAGGGGAGUGUGGAACUCCUGGUGUAGCGGUGAAAUGCGCAGAUAUCAGGAAGAACACCAGCGGCGAAGGCGGCACUCUGGGCCGGUACUGACGCUGAGGCGCGAAAGCCAGGGGAGCAAACGGG
rnacentral:rRNA from 1 species